UACGAAGGGGGCUAGCGUUGCUCGGAAUCACUGGGCGUAAAGCGCACGUAGGCGGAUUGUUAAGUCAGGGGUGAAAUCCUGGAGCUCAACUCCAGAACUGCCUUUGAUACUGGCGAUCUUGAGUCCGGGAGAGGUGAGUGGAACUGCGAGUGUAGAGGUGAAAUUCGUAGAUAUUCGCAAGAACACCAGUGGCGAAGGCGGUUGCCUGGGGCUUUGCUGACGCUGAGGCGCGAAAGCGUGGGGAGCGAUCCGG
rnacentral:rRNA from 1 species